rnacentral:rRNA from 1 species
AGCGGCGAAAGGGUGAGGAACACGUGGAUACCUACCCUCAGGCUCGGGAUAGUGGCGGGAAACUGCCAGUAAUACCGAAUAACAUCUCCGGAUCAAAGCUCCGGCACCUGUGGACGAGUCCGCGUCCCAUUAGCUAGUUGGCGGGGUAAUAGCCCACCAAGGCAAAGAUGGGUAGUGGGCGUGAGAGCGCGACCCACCACACUGGGACUGAGAUACUGCCCAGACACCUACGGGUGGCUGCAGUCGAGAAUCUUCGGCAAUGGGCGAAAGCCUGACCGAGCGACGCCGCGUGGAGGAUGAAGGCCUUCGGGUUGUAAACUCCUGUCGGAGGGGAAGAAAUUUUGACUACCCCCUCGGAGGAAGCCCGGGCUAAGUUCGUGCCAGCAGCCGCGGUAACACGAACCGGGCAAACGUUAUUCGGAAUUACUGGGCUUAAAGGGUGCGUAGGCUGCGCUAUAAGUCGGGUGUGAAAUCCCUCAGCUCAACUGAGGAACUGCGCCCGAUACUGUAGUGCUUGAGGAGGAUAGAGGUGAGCGGAACUAGCAGUGGAGCGGUGAAAUGCGUUGAUAUUGCUGGGAACACCCGUGGCGAAAGCGGCUCACUGGGUCCUUUCUGACGCUGAGGCACGAAAGCUAGGGGAGCGAACGGGAUUAGAUACCCCGGUAGUCCUAGCCGUAAACGAUGAGCACUAGAUCGGGGAGACCUCCACAUCUUCCCGAUCGUAGCGAAAGUGUUAAGUGCUCCGCCUGGGGAGUAUGGUCGCAAGGCUGAAA